rnacentral:rRNA from 1 species
UACGGAGGGUGCAAGCGUUACUCGGAAUCACUGGGCGUAAAGAGCGUGUAGGCGGGUAGUUAAGUCAGAAGUGAAAUCCAAUAGCUCAACUAUUGAACUGCUUUUGAAACUGAUUACCUAGAAUAUGGGAGAGGUAGAUGGAAUUUCUGGUGUAGGGGUAAAAUCCGUAGAGAUCAGAAGGAAUACCGAUUGCGAAGGCGAUCUACUGGAACAUUAUUGACGCUGAGACGCGAAAGCGUGGGGAGCAAACAGGAUUAGAUACCCUGGUAGUCCACGCCCUAAACGAUGUACACUAGUUGUUGUGAGGCUCGACCUUGCAGUAAUGCAGCUAACGCUUUAAGUGUACCGCCUGGGGAGUACGGUCGCAAGAUUAAAACUCAAAGGAAUAGACGGGGACCCGCACAAGCGGUGGAGCAUGUGGUUUAAUUCGACGAUACACGAAGAACCUUACCUGGACUUGACAUAGUAAGAACUUUCUAGAGAUAGAUUGGUGUCUGCUUGCAGAAACUUAUAUACAGGUGCUGCACGGCUGUCGUCAGCUCGUGUCGUGAGAUGUUGGGUUAAGUCCCGCAACGAGCGCAACCCUCGUCAUUAGUUGCUAACAGUUCGGCUGAGAACUCUAAUGAGACUGCCUACGCAAGUAGGAGGAAGGUGAGGACGACGUCAAGUCAUCAUGGCCCUUACGUCCAGGGCUACACACGUGCUACAAUGGGGUAUACAAAGAGCAGCAAUACGGUGACGUGGA